GAAUAUUAGUCAUGCUCGAAAGAGUGAACUAGCUAGCUGAAAUCCUAGGCAUUUCUCAUGGAAUAAAUAGGAUAAGGAAGUGAAAAAAAUGAUAUUAAACAAAAGUUAUUGUUCUUUAGAAGUGAGGAUUUAAUCCAAUCCAAUAAAUUAUAAUAACUGUGCCUUAUAGUGCUGUCCAACACUCGUGCCAGAAGACUCGGUAAUGCGAGUAGCACAAACGUUAAUCGUCUUAUGCAGGCGUAAAGGGUUUGUAGGCGGUUUUGAACCACUUAACUUAUGUUUAAUUACAAAACAGUUAUUGUUUAGUAGAUUCUAGAAUCAGACCGAGGAUAAUCAGAAGAAUACUUAAUUUAGGGCCUAUAUCCAGUGAGAUUAAGGGGAAUACUAAGGAGUGUAGACUUUUGUCCAUUAAUGAUUGACGCUGAGAAACGAAGGUAGGAACAGGGAUAAGGAUUAGAUACCCAAGUACCUCCUACUGUCAACGAUGUAUGGUGGCUGUUAGCCUAAUGGCUGGUGGCGAUGUUAACGCGAUUACCAUACCGCCUUGUGAGUACGGUCGCAAGACUGAAAUCAAAAAAAUUAGUCGGUUCCAGAGCAAACGAAGUGAAGCAUGUUAUUUAAUUCG
rnacentral:rRNA from 1 species